GAUGAACGCUGGCGGCGUGCCUAAUACAUGCAAGUCGAGCGAACGGACGAGAAGCUUGCUUCUCUGAUGUUAGCGGCGGACGGGUGAGUAACACGUGGAUAACCUACCUAUAAGACUGGGAUAACUUCGGGAAACCGGAGCUAAUACCGGAUAAUAUUUUGAACCGCAUGGUUCAAAAGUGAAAGACGGUCUUGCUGUCACUUAUAGAUGGAUCCGCGCUGCAUUAGCUAGUUGGUAAGGUAACGGCUUACCAAGGCAACGAUGCAUAGCCGACCUGAGAGGGUGAUCGGCCACACUGGAACUGAGACGCGGUCCGGACUCCCACGGGAGGCAGCAGUAGGGAAUCUUCCGCAAUGGGCGAAAGCCUGGCGGAGCAACGCCGCGUGAGUGAUGAAGGUCUUCGGAUCGUAAAACUCUGUUAUUAGGGAAGAACAUAUGUGUAAGUAACUGUGCACAUCUUGACGGUACCUAAUCAGAAAGCCACGGCUAACUACGUGCCAGCAGCCGCGGUAAUACGUAGGUGGCAAGCGUUAUCCGGAAUUAUUGGGCGUAAAGCGCGCGUAGGCGGUUUUUUAGGUCUGAUGUGAAAGCCCACGGCUCAACCGUGGAGGGUCAUUGGAAACUGGAAAACUUGAGUGCAGAAGAGGAAAGUGGAAUUCCAUGUGUAGCGGUGAAAUGCGCAGAGAUAUGGAGGAACACCAGUGGCGAAGGCGACUUUCUGGUCUGUAACUGACGCUGAUGUGCGAAAGCGUGGGGAUCAAACAGGAUUAGAUACCCUGGUAGUCCACGCCGUAAACGAUGAGUGCUAAGUGUUAGGGGGUUUCCGCCCCUUAGUGCUGCAGCUAACGCAUUAAGCACUCCGCCUGGGGAGUACGACCGCAAGGUUGAAACUCAAAGGAAUUGACGGGGACCCGCACAAGCGGUGGAGCAUGUGGUUUAAUUCGAAGCAACGCGAAGAACCUUACCAAAUCUUGACAUCCUUUGACAACUCUAGAGAUAGAGCCUUCCCCUUCGGGGGACAAAGUGACAGGUGGUGCAUGGUUGUCGUCAGCUCGUGUCGUGAGAUGUUGGGUUAAGUCCCGCAACGAGCGCAACCCUUAAGCUUAGUUGCCAUCAUUAAGUUGGGCACUCUAAGUUGACUGCCGGUGACAAACCGGAGGAAGGUGGGGAUGACGUCAAAUCAUCAUGCCCCUUAUGAUUUGGGCUACACACGUGCUACAAUGGACAAUACAAAGGGCAGCGAAACCGCGAGGUCAAGCAAAUCCCAUAAAGUUGUUCUCAGUUCGGAUUGUAGUCUGCAACUCGACUACAUGAAGCUGGAAUCGCUAGUAAUCGUAGAUCAGCAUGCUACGGUGAAUACGUUCCCGGGUCU
rnacentral:rRNA from 1 species